GCAAUUUUUUAGGUUGAUGAUAAGAAAGUUGUUCUUCAUCGUAAAACGAAGUUAACUUAAUGAAAAGUACGUUUAGAAUGUUUGUAAGGAGCUGCGCUGCAACCAUUACGCCAUUAUCCACGUGACAAACCUAGGUAAAUAUAAAUCUCUGGGUUGCAUACAUUAUUCUUUUGUGUGACACAAUGAGUUUUAAAUUGCC